rnacentral:lncRNA from 7 species
AGGGCUGAGUCACGGCCGCAUCGUGCCAGCACUGCCUGCCCGCUGCCUGCAGUGCCUGGGAGAGUUCUCCGUGUUUCUCUCUCUUCCCUUUCUGCACAGGAAUCGUUACUCACUCUGCACACAAUGCCAGAGGGAAGUCAAUGGUAACGGCCUUCUCUAUGAAAGGAACACUAAGUUUACCUGUGAAGGAGGUAUUCCCACCUACGCCAAAUGCAUGACUGGAGAGAAUUUCAAGGCGUGGGCAUAGAUGCAUGUAACAGAGACUUGAUUUAAAUAAAAAUUGAGUCCAAAUUACUCAUCUGCUUUAAGGACUUUAGUUGUACACAUGUGAACGUCACUGCCCAGCAUGGUUCAUCACAGCUUCCCCUGUUUUUAACACCAUACAGGUCACACUGAAACCCAGUGAUAUCACUGUUCCAAAAUCCCCUUUAUCCUCACGGUGAAUAUGAACACAGUGUUUUAAACACCUUUGUUAAUCCCUGCUGGAGAAUAACAAAUCAUUCGUUUGAUUAAACUU